rnacentral:lncRNA from 1 species
CCCAGCCGACCAGCUUGACCCUGAGUACAAAUCAUCACUUCUGCCUUGAACUUAGAUAACCUUCCAAUCAAGAGAACCGUGUGCAGGUGGUGAUCACUUCAUCUCACAGCGCUCUUGUGUCCCAGAAUUGAUGAAAGCUUGCGCUGAAGCUGGCGGGUCUUCUGCUGGUUCAUCAAGGUCUGUGGAGCAAAGUCUGUCCAUUCACACCCAUGAGAUGCUUCUGAAGAGAAACUCCUCAGGUCAGAUGACUCACAACACGUAGUGCUGGAAAAAAAGCGCUUCAACAAGUUAAAUUGCUCCCUCUAGAAUUUCCAACUUCAGCAUUAAAUAACAGAUGAUUUGAACUCAAAUAACUCCCAAGCACAUCCUAAAGUAGACAGACAGAAAAAUCUUUUCAUUGUGAUUUUUUUCUCUUGCUGUUCUGGCUUGAAAAUGCACCCACUCACAUUCCAAUUAUUCCAAAUGCAGAUAAGCAGCUUGCUGCAAUGUUGAAUGAGGUUCCUACUAUCACCACUGUAGUUAAUGAAUUGACCUGCCAUGUCGUUUGAACUCGUGCGUUUGUCACUCUCUUCAGCUAAUCUGUUAUUGCAGAAUUAAAUCAGACAGUAAAUCAGUCAGAGUUUAUCUAUGGUGGACACAUUAGUCAGACUUUUAAUGAUACUGAGAGAUGGUCUGAGCUGGUAAUCACUGAUGGGUAAGGUGUGUUAGCUUGGUUAAUGAACUGAGAAUAAAGGCCCUGCCCGCAUGCAAGACAUAAUGUAUAGUGAACAGGCAGUUAUGCAGGUUAGAUUCCCCAACAAAGAGCACAGGGCUCUGUUGCACAAGCUAUGUGUGCAUUAGUCACACUUAAGUUAGGGUGUCAAGUCUGAACUCAAGUUGUAACUUAAGUUUACCUUUGUUCGGUUUCACAAUGUAUGAUCAGGCUGCCCCCCGGCGUAGUGAUUAGCUGUUCAGAGCCACCCUUGUUGCAGGUUUUUACAAAUCAGAUGUAAGUAUUCAACACAGCUUGCUUUUGAGGAGAACCAUGAUACAUUUAAACAUUUUUUCUCCUCUUAGGUUCUUGCAUUAACAUCUGCUGCAAAGCACUGAACACGACCACAGGCGCUGCUGCUCAGAUACAGCUGUUGUUACACAAAGGUUCAUACCAGGAGAGUUCUGCUCAGGUUUUUUCUGCUUGUCUUUGGGUCACCCUGUUGCAGCAGGACAUAAGAGGCUACGAUGACAUCUAUGAUGACACCUGUACAGCUCCUGCCUCCUUUUUAAUUGAGCAAUAUAACACGUUAACCUUAAUAUAGCAUCAUGUGCGAAUGUACAUGCUGUGUCAUUGAGUGUGAAAACCGCCUACGUCUCCUCAUCAACAUGGCAGGCCGAGGCUCAUAUGUGUUUGAUGAUUACGUCUACAAGGUGUGACAUUUGGCCCAUGAACAGGAGUGCUGUAAUAAACCUGCAUAACUUAAUGGUGGGCUAAGUGGGAAUCAAACUCUACCAGCUCUGUAUAAGGAAUAGAAACUUAUAUCAUUUUCUUGAAUCUAUUACAUACAGUCUGUUUGUGAGAGCUAACUAACAAGAGUGCUGUCCAAGCACUGUUAAUGAGAAAUCCUAAUGUUACAAACAGGUACACAUUAUUGACCCCUUCAGAGUUAGUUAGUAGUUUGAUGAUUUUUGUGGGCAGGGAUUAGCUGAAGGCAAGGCAAUCCCUUUGGAACAAGGUUCCAAGACUACCUGUCAGAUGGGCGCCAGGCAGAAAUAUUGGUCUCCUGGAGUUUUGACGAUAACCAUAGGUGUACCACAAGGGUCAAAUUUAGGUCCUGCAUUUUUUACUGUUAAUGUCUGAGGACCUACUCAUUUUGAGUUUUUGACGAUAGCCAUGGGUGAACCUCAAGGGUCUUUUUAAGGUCCUGUACUUUCUAUUAUUUACAUCUAAUAAUGCAUCAGAUUUCAUAUAGUGCUUUAUCAGAGACCCUCAAAGCGCUUUACACUGGGUACAUCAUUCAUUCGCUCACACAGUCACACUUUGGUGGUGGUAAACUACCUUAGUAAUCACAGUUGCCCUGGGGCACACUGACAGAAAUGUGGCUGGCAGUUUGCGCCUAUGGCCUCUCCAACCACCACCACACAACACUCACAAUCAUACACCAGUGGAGGACACACACUGGGAACAGUGGAGGAAACACACUGGGAGCAAGGUGGGUUAAGUGUCUUGGCCGAGAACACAACAGACAGACUCAGGAUAGGGAGGAAUCGAACUGCCAACUUUCUGGUUAUUGGACGAACGCUCUACCUCCUGAGCUACUGCCGCCCCAUCUGUGAUAUUAUUCCUCUCUGAACAAGUUGUCAUGCACAUUUUGAAAACACAAUUUUGUAUUCCAUUACCCAGCAAGCUGUUGUGUUCUACACAAGGUAACAAUAUUGAAAUUGUGACGGUAUAAAUAUUUUGGUAUUUGGACAGACGAUAAACUCACAUUUGAAUACCAUAUAGACUGAUUUACCAACAAACUACAUCAAAAAAAUGGUUUUCUUUACAGACACAAAUCUACAAAUCUAACAUUUUUGUUGCCUGUUUUCCUCCUUUUUUAUUUAAUAGGGACGUGAGUUACAUGCAUGCAUCUGCAACAGCUCUUGGGCCUCUAGAUGUUGGUCACCGUUCUGCUGACAGACCACACUCAUCAUCACUGUCAUACAGUAUAUACUACUGCCCUAUGGUCCCACUUCAUGUUUACCUGCAGUUUGACAUAGCUUUGACGUCUGCCCUAAAAGGGCCCAUAGCAGGUAUGGCAUGAUUGUGUUAAACGGGUUUAAUCUGCAUUUGCUUUGUGAUGUUGAUGGCUUUUAAAUAAGCAUUUUCCUUGGUUUGCAAACUCAUUACUUUCCGAUGUCUAUGUAGGUGGUGUUUUAUUCAUGAAGCCCUUUUUGUCAACCUCUUUGUAUCAGUCAAGACAAACUAGUAUUAAUGAUGUCUAAAGUGCAGUUGAACAAGACAACUAGACAAAUCAAAAUAAUUAAACAGAAUGAAAAAUAAGCAAAUGAGUUCAGGUCUGCUGCUUUACCUCAUCCCUAUAACAGAUGUGAUCAGAACAAUCAUGGUACUGCUAUAUUAUCCUAUACAAUGGAUUAUUUCUGACACUUUAUUCUAAGCAAUCUUCGCUUAGAUAAUUACGUUUCUCCUGUAAUGGCUGAGGGAUAAUUGGGGGCAUGAUAUUAAUCUGAAAUGAGUUCAUUUUUUAACAAAUAGGAGGAAAAGGGCAGAAAUUCAUUAUGAAAACGAUGUAGAAUACAUACUAUAGCUGCGCAUGUGUGAUGAAGCUGAAACCUGAUUGAUUGAUUUGAUAAAGACUUAAAGAAAUAUUCAUACACUAUAUAGAUGAUAAUGAAACAGUUUUAAAGUCAUAUGAAGUCAGGCAUGCAAGAAAUACUGUAAGCAUGGGCUGUAAAUGGAGAAGUUUAUCACUCAAAGAUUUCAUACACGUUAGAAUAUUAUAAACUAGAUCAGCUAUAGAUUCCUGCCACUACUUAGGGUUAAAGAUUUAUCACAAGUCAACAUACUUUACUGUAUGUGCAAGUUUCUGCUAUUUUUUACCGUUCAUUCUUGCUUUGUUCUAAUUCAUGAAUAUAAAGUAUUGACAUAAUCCAAUCCUUAUUUUAUUAAAAUUUCUACUUUUUCACCCUUUAGUCCUAUUUGUUUGACUGCUUUAAUCUUAUUUUGCACUAACCUGCUCAUGAAGAUGCUUUGUUUGUUUGUUGUGUCGCUCAACAACAAUAAAAGCUUGAAUCUCUAACCUUCACCUUUUUAAAGGAAAAUCAACUUCUUCAUGUCCAUGUGAUGAUUGACAUCUCGAUUCUGGAAACUUGAACCGUAUUCAGUCAAAGAUUAGGGGGAUUGAGGAUUUUUAGGCAGAUUCUCUGGAUUAAAAUAAGACUAUUUGACUUGUUGGUGGUGAUUUCAUACAUGUCUGUAGAUCUCAAAUCAUCAUGCUUCAGUUUAACAAAGACAUCCUAAUGAUUCAUCUUUGCAAAAGAGAGAUGAAUAAUGUUCCCAGUUGGCUGUAAGCGAGCUGCAGCAUGGCUAAAAACGUGUUUGACGUAAAUUGCUUGAUUUUAGUUCUUGCCAUCAUGGCACCUUGAACAACCACCUCAGAUUGCUGUUAGCAGCAUAUUGUUGUCGGUGCAUGGCUCCCCGCUGUGUGACAUCACUUCUGCUUUACUUUCACUGUUAAAGCCAAUCCACCUCGUGAUGCUCCUCUGGCUUCAUUAUUUACAUGUGUGAGGCAAUUUUCUCAGAGCUGAUUGCGUCUGUCUCCACUCCGACUAAAGGAUAAUUGUGUGGAUGAUUUUAAUUUCUGUCACUGCAGCAAUAUAUUUAGGAAAAUAUCACCAGAGGUGUAUCGUGCAAACAUAAAUAGAGCGUAAAUUAAAAUGCCAUGAACAUACAUGACUUAAAUCACUGAAUAUUUUUACAUCCUGCAUACUGCGAUACAUACUUGACACACGAUUUAUUGAGGUGCGAAGAGGCUGCAGACAAAGCUGGCUGAUUUUAUUUAAAUAAGACGAAACUGAGAUGGCAUGAAAUGCAAAACAUGAACAGAGGACAAAAAAUAUGAAAAGAAAUUUAAUUUUGCUGUGACAUGCAUUUCAUCGCUGUCGGGCAGAAAACUUGUAACUCCAUAUAUCAUUCUCUCUUUUUUGCAUUAAUCAGUGCUUUUCACAUGCCUGUUAGCAGGCUUUAAAUUAUUCAACAGAUAAAAAAGAAUGAAAAAUUUUCUGUUGUUUGUAGGCUUUUAAUAUUCUCAAAGAAAAGCACAAUAUCAACUAGUUUGAGGAGAAGCAUUCAUUGUGGAUAUUAGGGACUAAUAGUGUGGCAUAAUGAGGACUGAUCAGAAAGCUAACUUCAAUUGAAAAGAUACAAAGUUUAGGUCUAAGCAGUGGAGGAGCCUGCAAGUGGUAGAUACAAAAGACUAAAAAAUUAUGUGCCAAAAACUGCAGCCUGAUAAUAGCUCUAAGAGACAGUCCAUCCCCAUUGGCCCUUCAGUGCUGGUUAACGAAUUACUUUUGUUAAGGUUCAACAGACCCCCCAAAAUUGUUGGAGUUUAUGACUUACAGCCUUUUCUCAAAGCUAUGCAGGGCUCAUUGUGUAACUCAACUCAUUUAAAUAUAUAUUAGACCUUAAAGUUAUGUAGGAUAGAAAACACACCCAUGUCUUGCUAGCUGUUGUUGGUGACUUUUGGAGAUUUUUCAUAAUACUCUCAAAUACUGUGGCUCGUUAAUGUUUCCAACAGGCAUUCAUGAAGGCUUUGCUCCAGUUUGUCAGUAAAUUGUAGUAAUAAAGCAUCAGUACUAGCUUGCAACACUCACAGUACCUUACUUGUUUUUUAGGUUUUAUUUGUUUCUGUCUGCGCAGGAACACAGAACUGUUGUUUCACCGGCAGAAAGACAGCAUGUCCUUGUUAAGACAACACAGCUUGUUACUAGCAAGCAAGUCUGUUCUGUUCCCCCAUCGCCCGCCAUCCCACCUUAUGCGUGUCUGCCUACUCUCCAGCUCUGUGGCAGUAUUGUUUACCCUGCUAUUAGAUGUACCUCACACAUUUAGACUGCAUACAUGUUUAACUUUUUCAUUAGUUAAGUUUUUACUCAGCCCAAGAGAGCCUAUUAUAAAGCAACUCUACUUCUCUGGCUAGGUUUUCUAAGGUAUUUCCAAUAUGGUGACCACCAUCGUCAUGUGCAUCGCCACAUCAGAAACCACGGGUGUCACCACUGAGACACAGUCCAUUUAUCGUGUGGUUUACAGUGUCACAUCAAAGGUCUAAAUUGGGAGGGGUUAUGUGUUUCCAUCAAAUGGUCCAGUUUGGUUAAGUACAGUUUUGUGCAGUAAACCCUGAUCUUCAGUGUGAUUCCACAGCUGACUGUACCCUGGUGCUUUACAGAGGAAGCAUAUUGGCUGUGUAAGCGACUUUAUGUCAAUCCAGCGUGCAAAUUGAUAGAUCAGAUUGUUCGCUAAUUUAAAUCCCAUGCUUAUCUUGCAAUUCCAAGAAAAAAAAAAAAAAGAGUGGAAAGUUUGCAGAUUUUUUUGACAAGCAGCCUGUGAAUCUUGGCAUGAAUAUACAUAAAAAAAUCACAAGCUAAGUCAUCUAAAACCUGAAAAAUAUAACAUAUAACAGGGUAAAAUUUACUAAUAAGACAACAGCAGGUUAAGAGAAUCAAGUACAAUCCUUCCUCUCCCCUCCCCUCUCUCAAUGAACAGGUUGUAGUGUGUUUCGCUCUAUCCUCUGGCAUCAUAUACUGUUUAUAUGAAUAAGGAUGGCACAAACUUAGUGUUUUGGUACCUUUACCUACUUCUGAUAGAGGGAAUGCAAAUAAUUACAUGCUGUCUCUUACCGAACUGAACCAGACCAAUUGGCAGAAAUUCAGCCUUGAUGUAGAACAUUUCAUACAUCUGUCUCUUAAUCCUUCCAUCUCACCUGCAACAUUUUCCAGCUCCUCCUGGGGGUUACUAGGGUGUCCCCAAGCCAGAUGGGACAUAUAAUCCUUCAAGAGAGCUUUGGGUCUACUCCCCAGUUUUCUCCACCUGCUUCCCUCAGUUUGAUGUGCCCUGAAAGACUCUAAAGGCAGGAAGCAUCCUAAUCUGAUGGACAAAACCCCUCAACUGGCUCCUUUCCAAGCGUUGACCUCUCAAACGCUCUGUCUAGGGUUUUAUUAGCAGGGUUAAGGUCUAGGUUUGAUGAGGAGCUGGUAUAGAAUAAAGCAGAGGUACCAUUUUUAAGACUUUUAGACUUCUUCAUUAUUGUGUUUAAUAGACAGACUGAAAACUACCUGUGACUCUCAAAAGUAGUUAGACUUUAGUGUCUUUCACAGUAAGUUUAAACCAAUAACACAAAAUAAAAUUCUCCCUUAAAACAAAAAUAAUAAAUUCACAAUGUCAUUUUUUUUUUGCUUUUCUUUUUUCAUUCAGGUUCCACCCAUUCUUAAAGAUGAAGAGGUCUUGAUGUCUUGAUUCCCGAGAGAGGUUAGAUGAAGGCAGGAAGCGCAUGGCGAGGAAGAGGGGAAAGCCAGAGCCACAGAGGAUGAUAAAGAUGUAGAAUAACAGAGACAUGUACUUCAUACCACUGGAUCUACACAGUCACAGAAAAAGGAAAAUAAAAUCUAAAGAAAACACACAAA